UACGGGGGAUGCGAGCGUUAUCCGGAAUGAUUGGGCGUAAAGGGUCCGCAGGUGGCCCUGUCAGUCCGCUGUCAAAGCCUGGGGCUCAACCCUGGAGAGGCGGCGGAGACCACCGGGCUUGAGUCCGGUAGGGGCAGAGGGAAUUCCCGGUGGAGCGGUGAAAUGCGUAGAGAUCGGGAAGAACACCAGUGGCGAAGGCGACUUACUGGACACAUAUUGACGCUGAGGUGCGAAAGCGUGGGGAGCAAACAGG
rnacentral:rRNA from 1 species